AUACCUAACUGCAAGAACUGCCGCAUCCCUGGUGGUCUGACCGUGUCUCUGAGCUAAGCAGCAGAUUUCAGCCACAGGGUCUGACUCUCAGGCAGACACAUCCUGUCCAAGGACUGGAGACAGAGCAUCCGUUCUCCCACCCAGAGCGGUCAGCUGCAUGUGGCUGGUUGGGGGCGGUUCAGACAGAAACGGCCCAAGAGAAAUGGAAAUAUGAUGGCUGGUUGAUUGUUUCGCAGUCUGCAUGACAGACCACCCUCCUAACAAGACUCUAGGUCAAGUGCUCUUCUCUGCCCUGUGGAUCUACUGGGGAGAAAUUAGCUCUCGGUGGUAUUUCCAAUUAUGGAGAAAAGCGAUUCCUCCCUGGUCUGGCUAUCAUGUGUUUUGCAGUGGACCAAGAGACAUGAAGCCCAUUUUCCACCCUCGCCUCUUUCUCGAUCUAGCUGCAUGACCUUGGGAGGUGGCGUGACCUCUCGGCUUCUUUGCUGCCUCAUCUGUCAUGAUCCACCUUCACUACUUCAUAGCCAUGUUCUAGGAUAAAUGAGAGAAGCCUCUACAUCUUUUAGUCUCCCAGAAAGACUGGAACCAGUGAUAAGUUCCAUGAAGACAAAGACCUGUUUAUCUUGUUCUGCUCCAGCACCGAGCAGGUGCAGUGGCUUAUGCCUGUUAUCCCAGAACUUUGGGAGGCUGAGUCAGGAGGAUCACUUGAGGCCAGUUCAAGACCAGCCUGGGAA
rnacentral:sRNA from 1 species